UAUCUCAGUUGGUAAAGAAUCUGCCUGCAAUGCAGGAGACCAGGGUUCAAUCCCUG
rnacentral:tRNA from 1 species